GAGGAAUAAGCAUCGGCUAACUCCGUGCCAGCAGCCGCGGUAAUACGGGGGAUGCAAGCGUUAUCCGGAAUCAUUGGGCGUAAAGCGCCUGUAGGUGGUUUGCUAAGUCUGUUGUUAAAGACUAGGGCUUAACCCUAGAAAAGCAAUGGAAACUUGUAGACUAGAGUAUGGCAGGGGUAGAGGGAAUUUCUAGUGUAGCGGUGAAAUGCGUAGAUAUUAGAAAGAACACCAGUGGCGAAAGCGCUCUACUGGACCAUUACUGACACUCAGAGGCGAAGGCUAGGGUAGCAAAAGGGAUUAGAUACCCCUGUAGUCCUAGCCGUAAACGAUGGAUACUAGAUGUUGUGCAUAGUACAGUAUCGUAGCUAACGCGUUAAGUAUCCCGCCUGGGGAGUACGCUCGCAAGGGUGAAACUCAAAGGAAUUGACGGGGGCCCGCACAAGCGGUGGAGCAUGUGGUUUAAUUCGAUGCAACGCGAAGAACCUUACCAGGGCUUGACAUACUACAAAUUCUUUUGAAAAAGAGAAGUGCCUUCGGGAAUGUAGAUACAGGUGGUGCAUGGCUGUCGUCAGCUCGUGUCGUGAGAUGUUGGGUUAAGUCCCGCAACGAGCGCAACCCUUAUUUUUAGUUACCAAUUCGUUGGAUUUUUUAGAAAGACUGCCGGUGACAAACCGGAGGAAGGUGAGGAUGACGUCAAGUCAGCAUGCCCCUUAUGUCCUGGGCUACACACGUGCUACAAUGGUUAAGACAAAGAGUCGCAAACUCGUGAGGGUAAGCUAAUCUAUUAAACUUAGCCUAAGUUCAGAUUGUAGGCUGCAACUCGCCUGCAUGAAG
rnacentral:rRNA from 1 species